GCCAGCAGCCAUAUUACCCUGCAGCUCACAACUGACAACCCACUGAAGCUAAGCAGGUGUGAGCCUGGUCAGUACCUGUAUGGGAGACCUCCUGGGAAAAACUAAGGUUGCUGCUGGAA
ensembl:rRNA 5S_rRNA 5S ribosomal RNA